CUGAAGGUCAGAAACUUGGGCAUUGCCUAUGUGACUACUGACCAUGCUUCUCUUGUGGGAGCUGUGGGGAGUGGGCGGUAACUUAGGCAGGGGCCAGAGUUCCAGGAGCAUGAGGGAAUGCCUACCGUGUCAUGAAGGUGAAUUAUGACUAUCGGGGUUCAGACCUUAGCUCAACUGGAGACCAGCCUGCAAUUCCCCACAACAAGUCUUGCAGCUUGUGAGAGGAGAUGUACUUUGCUCAGCCCACAAUUAAUUAUUGAAGUCCAAGGCCUAGUGAAGUUGUAUGAAAGGUGUCAAGAGGGUGUGAGAAAGUCACGUUCUCAAGAAGCAGACGAGUACAUAUUCCUUUUUGGAAAUGAGAAGAAGUGGAAACUGUUCUGGUUAUUGGUCGGCCUUCUGGAGUGCUUCUCCCUCCUUGAAGUCCAUGAUGAGCACAGGCAAGUCCAUGAGCUCCUGGACCACCACACCCCCCUAGCAGAGGACGGUGGAUGUUUUACAUUUAAGC
rnacentral:lncRNA from 1 species